CGGGGGGGGUCCUAUACAUGCAGUCGAGCGGACAGAAGGGAGCUUGCUCCCGGAUGUUAGCGGCGGACGGGUGAGUAACACGUGGGUAACCUGCCUGUAAGACUGGGAUAACUCCGGGAAACCGGAGCUAAUACCGGAUAGUUCCUUGAACCGCAUGGUUCAAGGAUGAAAGACGGUUUCGGCUGUCACUUACAGAUGGACCCGCGGCGCAUUAGCUAGUUGGUGAGGUAACGGCUCACCAAGGCGACGAUGCGUAGCCGACCUGAGAGGGUGAUCGGCCACACUGGGACUGAGACACGGCCCAGACUCCUACGGGAGGCAGCAGUAGGGAAUCUUCCGCAAUGGACGAAAGUCUGACGGAGCAACGCCGCGUGAGUGAUGAUGGUUAUCGUAUCUUAAAGUUGUGUUGGUAGGGAA
rnacentral:rRNA from 1 species